CCUUGCGCUAUUGGAUGAGCCUAUGUCGGAUUAGUUAGUUGGUGGGUAAAGGCCUACCAAGGCAGCGAUCCGUAGCUGGUCUUAGAGGAUGAUCAGCCACAUCGGGACUGAGACACGGCCCGAACUCCUACGGGAGGCAGCAGGUGGGGAAUAUUGCACAAUGGGCGCAAGCCUGAUGCAGCUAUGCCGCGUGUGUGAAGAAGGCCUUAGGGUUGUAAAGCACUUUCAGUAGUGAGGAAAAGUGUUGCGUUAAUAGCGCAAUGCUGUGACGUUAGCUACAGAAGAAGGACCGGCAAACUCCGUG
rnacentral:rRNA from 1 species